CAUCAACUUUUAUAUUCACAAUUAACAUCAAAUUGUGUAAAAAUGGAAAUGUUAUUUAAUAUUUACAGUAAGAUCACUGUGUGGUCAGUAUACAAGCCUUAAUCAGCACUCCUCUGUUCACAGUUUUUAUCUGGCAUUUCAGAAGUAGUUUAUAGAUCAUUUAUAAUAAAAUAAGUCAUUGACAUUAUACGUUAAUUGUAAACUGAGUCCAGUUUGACCUAUCAGGGUCAGAUUUGCUAACAGCUUGUGCCAGUGAAAACCCUCUUUUGGUGUUAAAAACUUCUGUCAACAUUAACUAAAGGGCAGUUAUUUCAGGGCUAAUGUUACUGCAUGCAUGUAUUUUUAAGAGUUUCACUUUCAGGCACAAAAUUAUUUAAAUGAUGGUAGAUUCUGGACUGCUGAGCUUUGUUUGUACAAGUGCAAACAGGGGACGUCCCCUGGACGUUCUGAACAUCCACUUAGGUACACAGUACGUCCGCUUUUUAAUGAUUGCUGGUGGACAUUCGGAGGAAGUCCGUGUUUGGUCCUCUUUUUGAUGUUCGCUGGUGUACGUUCAGAGGAUGUCCAUAUUUGUUCCUUUUUUGGACGUUCAGAGGACAUUUGUCCGAGCCAGUGUGCGAACGUUCCACUUUUGUCACUCAUCUGCCAUUUCCAUUCCAACACUUUUUUUUUUAAAGAUUAACUGCCUUUUUUUCAAGGUAUUGUUAGAUGCCACUGUUUCCUGUCAUAGCUAUGCAAAGAUUUGAUUCCAAAAACAGUAUCAUAGCUAUUAAACUAUAUCUUAUGAUUUUAAAUCUGUAUUUAACCUCAGAAAGAUUGCAAAGUAAAAAGAGAUGCUAAAGUCCUAUUUUGAGGUGGUUGUAAUUUACAAUUAAAUUAUCAUAAUCUUAAUUCAAGUGAAGAAGGAUUCUGAAAGUCUGAAAGUAAUCAGUGUUGAGUACCACUGUAACAUUAACCCUGCCUGCUUUAAAUGAUUAAAUUGAUAUAAUUAACAUUUAAAAACAAUAGAAAUUUGGAAAAGUAAUCUUUAACCUAUAACAUUUACAAAGUAACCUUCCCAACACUGGACCUGACACCUUGCAACUCGGACAAAGAGAGUUGACAGAAUUAAACUAAAAUAUAAACUCAUAUUGGAUCUUAAAGGGUUUCAUUGCCUAAAACAAAAUCAUUAAAAAAAAAAAAAAAAAAAAAACGUAACAGAAUGCAUAAAACAAAUAUAUUUUUGGAUUUGCAGAUUGAUAUUAUUUUUCUUUACCAUAUAGAUUUGAAUACAUUGUAAAAUAAAGUUAAUGUUAAAUUAAUAAUUUUCAUUUGGAAAAAAGAAAAUAGGAGUAACUUCUGUAAUGAAAAAUGUCAUUAAAUCAGGGGUCUGUUUUCAGCAUUUAAUCAUCAAAAUCAUGAUGCCUUUCAAUAAUAUAAUUGAACAUAUAGCUUCAAUUAGGUUCAUGCAUGAAUGAAGAAAAUAAGGUUAGAUCCCAGGAGCUCUACUAGAAUGUUCUAGAGUGAUGAAUGCAGCCAAGGAAAACAUGAAGAAAAGAAAGUGGAAAAUAACACAGGUUAGAAGACAAUGGGAAGAAAUGCCAUCGACUAACCACAGCUGACAACCAGAGACACAUGGACACACACACACACACACACACACACACGAAAAGAGCACUGCAACUUUACAAUUGUUCAAUUAAAAUAAACUUAUUUUGCUUCAUACAA